rnacentral:lncRNA from 1 species
CCCCCCCCCCAACUUUUUGAAACCCCCUCGGAGCAACAACCCUUAAACUCAAUCCCAUGCUUUCCUUUGUAGUAUUGAACCUUGUAGUACAAUUCCAGAGAGAUCCAUACACUAGUACUUAAACACAAGUUAUUGUCAUGAUUGUUUGGAAACUAGAAACAUGCUUCUUUUUGGCCCUUCUUUGGCCCCUAAUUCCUACAUAUUUUGGGCAAUUAACCCAAAACUUAAUCCCAGCCUCUCUUUUGUUAUAUGUUACAUUGUGGUACAAUUUCAGAGAGAUCCAUACAAUUACACACAAGUUAUUGUCUUGAAACUAGAAAAAUGCUUGUUUUGACCCCUUUUUGGCCCUUAAUUCCUAAACUUUGGACCCAUAACCCCUAAAAUGAUUCCAAAACGUCUACUUGUAGUUUUAAACAUUGCGGUAUAAUUUCAG